rnacentral:rRNA from 1 species
GUCUACGGCCCUACCACCCUGAACGCGCCGGAUCGCGUCUGCACUCGGAAGCUAAGCAGGGUCGGGUCUGGUUAGUACUUGUACUUUUGGAGAAAGUUAUAUAAGUUCCUUAUAGAAA